UACGUAGGGCGCGAGCGUUGUCCGGAAUUAUUGGGCGUAAAGAGCUCGUAGGCGGUCUGUCGCGUCGAAUGUGAAAACCCGGGGCUCAACUCCGGGCUUGCAUUCGAUACGGGCAGGCUAGAGUGCGGUAGGGGAGUCUGGAAUUCCUGGUGUAGCGGUGAAAUGCGCAGAUAUCAGGAGGAACACCGGUGGCGAAGGCGGGACUCUGGGCCGAUACUGACGCUGAGGAGCGAAAGCGUGGGGAGCGAACAGG
rnacentral:rRNA from 1 species